AACGCAUCUUGCGCUCCUUGGUAUUCCGAGGAGCAUGCCUGUUUGAGUGUCAUUAAAUUAUCAACCUUACCAGCUUCGUUGCUUGGUCUGGCUUGGAUGUGGGGGUUUUUGCAGGCUUUUCACAGUCAGCUCCCCUGAAAUGUAUUAGCGGUACCCUUGUGGCAAACGGCUAUUGGUGUGAUAACUAUCUACGCCAUUAGACGCCCACGUUAUAUAUGGGGGUCAUGCUGCUUCUAACAGUCCAUUGACUUGGACAGACUACAAAAUGACAAUUUUGACCUCAAAUCAGGUAGGACUACCCGCUGAACUUAA
rnacentral:misc_RNA from 1 species